GGCCCACGGGAGGCAGCAGUGAGGAAUAUUGGUCAAUGGUCGGGAGACUGAACCAGCCAAGCCGCGUGAGGGAGGAAGGUACAGAGUAUCGUAAACCUCUUUUGUCAGGGAACAAAGGCGGGGACGUGUCCCCGGAUGAGUGUACCUGAAGAAAAAGCAUCGGCUAACUCCGUGCCAGCAGCCGCGGUAAUACGGAGGAUGCGAGCGUUAUCCGGAUUUAUUGGGUUUAAAGGGUGCGUAGGCGGUCCGUUAAGUCAGCGGUAAAAUUGCGGGGCUCAACCCCGUCGAGCCGUUGAAACUGGCAG
rnacentral:rRNA from 1 species